rnacentral:rRNA from 1 species
UACAGAGGGUGCAAGCGUUGUUCGGAAUUAUUGGGCGUAAAGCGCGUGUAGGCGGUUUUGCAAGUCGGGUGUGAAAGCCCUCAGCUCAACUGAGGAAGUGCGCCCGAAACUGCAGAUCUUGAGUACCGGAGAGGGUGGCGGAAUUCCCCAAGUAGAGGUGAAAUUCGUAGAUAUGGGGAGGAACACCGGUGGCGAAGGCGGCCACCUGGACGGAUACUGACGCUGAGACGCGAAAAGCGUGGGUAGCAAACAGG